UAAUACAUGCAAGUCGUACGCUAGCCGCUGAAUUGAUCCUUCGGGUGAAGUGAGGCAAUGACUAGAGUGGCGAACUGGUGAGUAACACGUAAGAAACCUGCCCUUUAGUGGGGGAUAACAUUUGGAAACAGAUGCUAAUACCGCGUAACAACAAAUCACACAUGUGAUCUGUUUGAAAGGUCCUUUUGGAUCGCUAGAGGAUGGUCUUGCGGCGUAUUAGCUUGUUGGUAGGGUAGAAGCCUACCAAGGCAAUGAUGCGUAGCCGAGUUGAGAGACUGGCCGGCCACAUUGGGACUGAGACACUGCCCAAACUCCUACGGGAGGCUGCAGUAGGGAAUUUUCCGCAAUGCACGAAAGUGUGACGGAGCGACGCCGCGUGUGUGAUGAAGGCUUUCGGGUCGUAAAGCACUGUUGUAAGGGAAGAAUAACUGAAUUCAGAGAAAGUUUUCAGCUUGACGGUACCUUACCAGAAAGGGAUGGCUAAAUACGUGCCAGCAGCCGCGGUAAUACGUAUGUCCCGAGCGUUAUCCGGAUUUAUUGGGCGUAAAGCGAGCGCAGACGGUUUAUUAAGUCUGAUGUGAAAUCCCGAGGCCCAACCUCGGAA
rnacentral:rRNA from 1 species